rnacentral:rRNA from 1 species
AUGAAGUUUCUUUAUGUGUUACCUGGCUGGGAGGGUUCGGUUUCAGACUUGAGAGUUUUGCGUGAUGCAAUGAGGACAAACCGCCAAGAUGCUUUUGUUAUACCUAAGGGGAAAUAUUAUUUAGUUGAUGCUGGUUAUACCAAUGGAGAAGGAUUUCUAGCUCCAUUCAGGUCCACUCGGUAUCAUCUAAAAGAAUGGGCUGCAAGUGCAGAACAGCCUCAAACAGCUAAAGAGUUAUAUAACUUACGUCAUUCUCGUGCUAGGAAUGUAGUGGAGCGAACAUUUGGCUUGUUCAAGAAAAAAUGGGCUAUCUUGCGUUCCCAAACCUUCUUUGACAUAAAGGAUUAA